rnacentral:rRNA from 1 species
CACACUAUCGUUAACUGAAUACAUAGGUUAACGAGGCGAACCGGGGGAACUGAAACAUCUAAGUACCCCGAGGAAAAGAAAUCAACCGAGAUUCCCCCAGUAGCGGCGAGCGAACGGGGAGCAGCCCAGAGUCUGAAUCAGCUUGUGUGUUAGUGGAAGCGUCUGGAAAGUCGCACGGUACAGGGUGACAGUCCCGUACACGAAAAUGCACAGGUUGUGAACUCGAAGAGUAGGGCGGGACACGUGGUAUCCUGUCUGAAUAUGGGGGGACCAUCCUCCAAGGCUAAAUACUCCUGACUGACCGAUAGUGAACCAGUACCGUGAGGGAAAGGCGAAAAGAACCCCGGCGAGGGGAGUGAAAAAGAACCUGAAACCGUGUACGUACAAGCAGUGGGAGCACCUUCGUGGUGUGACUGCGUACCUUUUGUAUAAUGGGUCAGCGACUUAUAUUCUGUAGCAAGGUUAACCGUAUAGGGGAGCCGAAGGGAAACCGAGUCUUAACUGGGCGUUAAGUUGCAGGGUAUAGACCCGAAACCCGGUGAUCUAGCCAUGGGCAGGUUGAAGGUUGGGUAACACUAACUGGAGGACCGAACCGACUAAUGUUGAAAAAUUAGCGGAUGACUUGUGGCUGGGGGUGAAAGGCCAAUCAAACCGGGAGAUAGCUGGUUCUCCCCGAAAGCUAUUUAGGUAGCGCCUCGUGAACUCAUCUUCGGGGGUAGAGCACUGUUUCGGCUAGGGGGCCAUCCCGGCUUACCAACCCGAUGCAAACUACGAAUACCGAAGAAUGUUAUCACGGGAGACACACGGCGGGUGCUAACGUCCGUCGUGAAGAGGGAAACAACCCAGACCGCCAGCUAAGGUCCCAAAGUCAUGGUUAAGUGGGAAACGAUGUGGGAAGGCACAGACAGCCAGGAUGUUGGCUUAGAAGCAGCCAUCAUUUAAAGAAAGCGUAAUAGCUCACUGGUCGAGUCGGCCUGCGCGGAAGAUGUAACGGGGCUAAACCAUGCACCGAAGCUGCGGCAGCGACACUAUGUGUUGUUGGGUAGGGGAGCGUUCUGUAAGCCGUUGAAGGUGUGCUGUGAGGCAUGCUGGAGGUAUCAGAAGUGCGAAUGCUGACAUAAGUAACGAUAAAGCGGGUGAAAAGCCCGCUCGCCGGAAGACCAAGGGUUCCUGUCCAACGUUAAUCGGGGCAGGGUGAGUCGACCCCUAAGGCGAGGCCGAAAGGCGUAGUCGAUGGGAAACAGGUUAAUAUUCCUGUACUUGGUGUUACUGCGAAGGGGGGACGGAGAAGGCUAUGUUAGCCGGGCGACGGUUGUCCCGGUUUAAGCAUGUAGGCGGAACGAUUAGGUAAAUCCGGUCGUUUAUUAACGCUGAGGUGUGAUGACGAGGCACUACGGUGCUGAAGUAACAAAUGCCCUGCUUCCAGGAAAAGCCUCUAAGCAUCAGGUAACAUCAAAUCGUACCCCAAACCGACACAGGUGGUCAGGUAGAGAAUACCAAGGCGCUUGAGAGAACUCGGGUGAAGGAACUAGGCAAAAUGGUGCCGUAACUUCGGGAGAAGGCACGCUGAUAUGUAGGUGAAGCCCCUGCGGGUGGAGCUGAAAUCAGUCGAAGAUACCAGCUGGCUGCAACUGUUUAUUAAAAACACAGCACUGUGCAAACACGAAAGUGGACGUAUACGGUGUGACGCCUGCCCGGUGCCGGAAGGUUAAUUGAUGGGGUUAGCGG